GAUUGAUGGCGAGUGGCGAACGGGUGAGUAAUACAUCGGAACGUGCCCUGUAGUGGGGGAUAACUAGUCGAAAGAUUAGCUAAUACCGCAUACGACCUGAGGGUGAAAGUGGGGGACCGCAAGGCCUCAUGCUAUAGGAGCGGCCGAUGUCUGAUUAGCUAGUUGGUGAGGUAAAGGCUCACCAAGGCGACGAUCAGUAGCUGGUCUGAGAGGACGAUCAGCCACACUGGGACUGAGACACGGCCCAGACUCAUACGGGAGGCAGCAGUGGGGAAUUUUGGACAAUGGGCGAAAGCCUGAUCCAGCAAUGCCGCGUGUGUGAAGAAGGCCUUCGGGUUGUAAAGCACUUUUGUCCGGAAAGAAAUGGCUCUGGUUAAUACCUGGGGUCGAUGACGGUACCGGAAGAAUAAGGACCGGCUAACUACGUGCCAGCAGCCGCGGUAAUACGUAGGGUCCAAGCGUUAAUCGGAAUUACUGGGCGUAAAGCGUGCGCAGGCGGUUGUGCAAGACCGAUGUGAAAUCCCCGAGCUUAACUUGGGAAUUGCAUUGGUGACUGCACGGCUAGAGUGUGUCAGAGGGGGGUAGAAUUCCACGUGUNGCAGUGAAAUGCGUANAGAUGUGGAGGAAUACNGAUGNNGAAGGCAGCCCCCUGGGAUAACACUGACGCUCAUGCACGAAAGNGUGGGGAGCAAACAGGAUUAGAUACNNUGGUAGUCCACGCCCUAAACGAUGUCAACUAGUUGUCCGGGAUUCAUUUCCUUAGUAACGUAGCUAACGCGUGAAGUUGACCGCGUGGGGAGUUCGGUCGCAUGAUUAAAACUCAAAGGAAUUGGGGGGGACCCACACAAGCGGGGGAUGGUGUGGAUUAAUUGGAUGCAACGAGAAAAACCUUACCUUCCCUUGACAUGUCACUAACGAAGCAGAGAUGCGUUCGCUGCUGGAAAGAGAAAGAGGACACAGGUGCUGCAUGGCUGUCGUCAGCUCGUGUCGUGAGAUGUUGGGUUAAGUCCCGCAACGAGCGCAUCCCUUGUCUCUAGUUGAUUCGAAAGGGCACUCUAGAGAGACUGCCGGUGACAAACCGGAGGAAGGUGGGGAUGACGUCAAGUCAUCAUGGCCCUUAUGGGUAGGGCUUCACACGUCAUACAAUGGUGCGUACAAAGGGUUGCCAAGCCGCGAGGUGGAGCUAAUCCCAGAAAACCCAUCGUAGUCCGGAUUGUAGUCUGCAACUCGACUACGUGAAGUC
rnacentral:rRNA from 1 species